rnacentral:misc_RNA from 1 species
GAACGCAUCUUGCGCCCCGUGGCAUUCCGCGGGGCAUGUCUGUUUGAGUGUCGUUUGACCUCUCAACCGCUUUGGUAUUCGAUUACAAAAGUCGGCUUGGAACUUGGGUGCCUCUGGCGAAACGCAAAGGGCUUCGGCCCUGUCGCCCACCCCAAAGUCAGUUGGGCCAACCGCGCGGAUGAGCGGACGGUUUGACCACAGUGUUGUAAGGUUCGCCUCACUGUCGGGACGUCCAUUUCCGUCGCUAUAAGGCAUUUGAAACACGAUACUAUUGAUUUUGACCUCAAAUCAGACAGGAUUACCCGCUGAACUUAAG